AUUCGAGAGGUUGGGCCUGCCCGGUGAAUAACUAUUUAAACGGCCGCAGUGAAUAACUGUGCUAAGGUAGCGUAAUAAAUUGUCUCUUAAUUGGAGAAGGGUAUGAAUGGUUUGACGUGGUGGUAUCUGUCUCAGUAAUAAUAAGGUGAAGUUUUCUUUUUAGUUAAAAGACUUGAAUGGCGUUAAAAGACGAGAAGACCCUGUCGAGCUUGAUAAAAAUAUAGAGUGUUUUUGUAUAAUAAGUUUAGCUGGGGCAGCUGAAAACCAUAAAAUAGUUUUCUUUUUUUUGAAGAUCCGGUUUAUACCGAUCAUAAGAAAAAGCUACCGCAGGGAUAACAGCGUUAUCUUUCCUGAGAGAACUAAUUGAAGGGAAGGUUUGCGACCUCGAUGUUGGAUUAAAAUUUCUUUUUGGUGUAGCAGCUAAAAUAGUAGGACUGUUCGUCCUUUAAAAUUUUACGUGAUCUGAGUUCCAGACCGGA
rnacentral:rRNA from 1 species